UUUAGCUGCAUUUGACAGCGAGAAGAAAGUGUCGAGGACUGGGAUUCAAAGCUUUGCUUUCACCGAUAGCUACUGCAGGACGAGGAUUUUUUUUAAUUACGAAACAUUCCUCUGUUUCCAUUCAGCUAUUAUAGCUCUUCAGGAGAAUAAAAUGGAGGGUGCCCUGCCCCUGUCCUCGCUGAGGCUCCUGGUUCCACCUCUGCGAGUGAUGUUGGCUGUGAUGUGGAAGGUGGUUCGUCAGAAGAACAUAAAGCAUUAUGGGAAAGUGGAGGAGUUUGUGUCCUUGGUAACUGGAGCCAUCCCUGACAUCUUGACAAACAGACAGAUGAGACUGCUCACCCUGGGCUUGAGAGCAAAGAUGACUUUACAAAUGUUAUGUUCUGACCAGUCAGAGGAUCUCAGACGGGUUACAACACACUUAGACAGCCUCCUGCCACCCAACUCAAAAGAGCUUCAGCCAGAAAACGAAGCUCUUGAAGUUAACUUUAUCAGGCUUGUUCGGAAACUUCUGGACGACCCAAAAGGGAGGGAACACUUUCUUAAGAAUGUGUUUCCUGUGGAGUAUGGCCCCAACUUUGAUACAGCACUGGAGACUCUGGUUUGUGAGUUCUUCACCCGACUAGAAGAACUGGUGCUUAUACCAAACUUUAAACAGUUUUGUUUGUUUGAUAAAGACCGCAGUGUGGAUCAGUGAUACAUCUUCUGUGCUAGAAGAGUACAUGCAGUGUGUUACCAAAGCAGAUGACCUCAAAGUUUUGCUCAAAAGUGAGGUGCAUCAUGGUAAAAUGGCCAAGAUGGAUUCCAGUGUGCCCUCUCCCUGCGAGCAGCAGCUCCUCUCAUCAUUAUCUCUUCCCCCUUCGUUAAGAGUGACCGACACCAAAGAUGUGGAAUCUAACACGCAAACAUUUGAAAACCAAAGCGAAUCAGAGGCGAUUUCUCCGCAGGAAG